GAUGAACGCUAGCUACAGGCUUAACACAUGCAAGUCGAGGGGAAACGACAUCGAAAGCUUGCUUUUGAUGGGCGUCGACCGGCGCACGGGUGAGUAACGCGUAUCCAACCUGCCCAUCACUUGGGAAUAACCUUGCGAAAGUAAGACUAAUACCCAAUGAUAUCCCACGAAGGCAUCGGAAUGGGAUUAAAGAUUUAUCGGUGAUGGAUGGGGAUGCGUCUGAUUAGCUUGUUGGCGGGGUAACGGCCCACCAAGGCAACGAUCAGUAGGGGUUCUGAGAGGAAGGUCCCCCACAUUGGAACUGAGACACGGUCCAAACUCCUACGGGAGGCAGCAGUGAGGAAUAUUGGUCAAUGGGCGAGAGCCUGAACCAGCCAAGUAGCGUGCAGGAAGACGGCCCUAUGGGUUGUAAACUGCUUUUAUAAGGGAAUAAAGUGGGUCACGUGUGACUUUUGGCAUGUACCUUAUGAAUAAGGACCGGCUAAUUCCGU
rnacentral:rRNA from 1 species